rnacentral:lncRNA from 1 species
CAAGCAAGCAAGAGCAAGGGUAAUAAUGCAGCAAAUGCUUCAAGAUGCAAGACCAGAAUUAAAAUCUAAAAUUGUCCUUUUUUUGGUCUGAGUUUGAAAUGCUGUAUUUUUCUUCCAGAUGAAAGUGAAAGCUCUGAUGAUGAUCAGCCAUUGAUCAAGAUGGUUAAAAACCACCAACUGAAGAACAGUUGAAGGAGGCAAUCAAGGAUCUCUUGAAAAAUGCCAAUUUAGAGGAAGUUACAAUGAAGCAGAUUACCCGACAAGUUUAUGACAAGUAUCCUGACUUUGAUCUGAGCAGCAGAAAGGAAUUCAUCCGGGAGACAGUUAAAGGUGUAAGUACCUCCAAAAUACUAAACCAGUGUUUUAGAAUUGAUUUUGUCAGUUUGUAGCUUUUAUAAUGGGUGAUUUUCUUGUUUUUCAGUUGAUAUCCUGAAGGGAAGAAAAUGCCUUAUUUAAAAGGACAGCGAGGAUGAAGAUCGUGUAGAAAACUCGGUUUUCAUUACACUGUUCAUUAUUGUGUAGUUUUUAUUUUAAUUUUAUAUAAGGUUUCUCAACUCUCCAGCAAAUUCUGCUUUUUUGUAUUUUAAAAAAGUAUUUUCUAAAGUUAAAAUGUUUUCAUUUGACAGUGAAUGACGUGGGUGGUUUUGGUUGUUGAAAAAUGCCACAUUUUUAAAGUGACCCUUUUUGUCCUUAUUUUUAAUGGCACAUAGCCAUACACAGUCACUAUAUUGCAUUUUGACAGUCAUAUUUGAAUGUCUUGGCUGUGUCAGUAAGCCCACAAGUUGUCAUGGCCUGCAGCUGCAUUACCGUUGACAUGUUGUUGCCAUGAUACUGUAUGCAAUAUUUAGGAAGAUUUCAUUGUUUGAUUGGUCUCACCUGUUAUUAGUGCUGAGUUUCAUUUCUUAGGUCCUAAAUGCUGAGUGCAAAAAAAACUUAUUUAGAAAUUAAUUGUUUGGUUUGUUAUUGUAUUUCAACAUAAAAUAUUUGGCAGUGUCAGCUUCCAUUUCAGUGUUCUGCUUAACAAAGGAAUUUGGGAUUUUAAUUUUAAUUUCUAAUGUGUAAAGAGCAAAAAACAUUUUUAAUCUUUGUUUUGCUCUCAUUUCUAUAAGAUUUUUUGUAAAUAUACUUUAUAUGUGCAUUUUCUUUCUUAUAUUUUUAAUGCAAGUCAUAAGGAACAAACAUAUCUCUUAAUUUGAGAUGUUACUCAUACCUGCAGGUCAGUGUUAGAUUGGUUCUCUGAUAAGACCUGGGUUGACCUCUGUUGUAUACACUGACCUCAGUAACCAGUAUAUCAGUUAUCAUCAGUCAUAUUGCUCAAUUAUAAUGCAUCACAAAAACUUAAAAACAAAAUAGAAACAAAGAUGUGUGUUUAUUUUGAAAUAAAUUGAUUUUUCAUAGAAAAAUGUUUCUUAAGACUAAGGUUCAAUUGCCACUUGAUGGUGUUGUUCUUCAAAGUUUUUGUUAGAGUUUAAACUGUUUUAAUGGGAUCUGUGGGGCAGUUCUAAACCUUUUUGAAUAGAAACCCAGCAUUUGUCAAACAGAUGCAAAGCCUAUUUUCCAAAAUUCCUCUAAUAUUUUGCCUAUUAGAAGAUAUUACACUCAACUGUGUACUGCAACAAAAAAAGCGUACUAUCCUCUCUUUAAAAUAAAUUGAACUAAAGCAAUCAACCAAUGUCCCACACAUCAGUGCUUCUAAAGGACUACUGUGUUUAAAUUCACCUGCAAGCAAAUAAUUACAACUGCGAAUUUUCCUUACAUUAUAAUACAUGGGGUUCAUAUAAUGCAAACAAAUCACUAUCCUUUAACAAACCAGAUAAUUCAAUUUAAGAAGAAAUUAUCUUCUUCACGCCAUAUUCUGCUUCGUUUCUCCUUGUGGCCAGUAGAGUUCGCAGUAUUAUGCGUUUUAGAGCUUUAACAUUUCCUGUUAUGGCCCAUAGAGGUCGUAGUUUGACGCUGCAGAUUUAUUCCGCUGGAGGUUGAAGUUGAGGGGUCAUGUUGGAGAGUGGCUUACAGUAGCUGACAUAAUGCAGGCAGAACAGUAGAGACUUACAUCCACCAGACUGCUGGAGCUCAACAGGAGCCGAUUCACCGUUAAAACAAGCCCCCAGAGAGGAAAGGUAGAACCUGUCUUUAGGGUAAGCAAUGAUUUGAGAGCUUUUAUUUUGGUUUGUGUGCAUAUGUAUUACUGAAUUAGUUCAUUUUAGAAGCACGGCAGGCCCAUAGUACGUUACUCUGUAUUUCUGUUAGCUGGUCCAGUAACAUGUAGCCAAAGCGCUUCCUAGAUAGAUGUAUAAUUUAUAGCUUGCCGC